rnacentral:lncRNA from 1 species
CCGGGGGCGGGGACGCUUCCGGUCUGUGGCCAACGCUAGCCGCAGGCCAGGACUCAUCUAUGCCCAGAAACAGGAAGCGUCAGGGUGACAGGAGUCAACACCUGCUUCAUCUGCCAUCAGCUUCUCUUCACCUGGAACACCCCUUGGACUCCAUCAUCAGAAGGUUCUACUCCAGUUUAACAUGAAGCCCUUCACCUCUGGCCAUAUUUCCUAAGUGACUGCACUAUACCCAGUUAUGAAACCAAAAUUAAAUUUAGUAGGUAAGCUCAUAAGGUGAUAUAGUUAGGUACUUAAUAUCUGUAUCAUAAGGGCAAAGUGGGGCUAUUGGUUAUAGGAUAACAGAAGAAGGCCAGGUGUUGGCUCAUCAUAUUCUGAGUAUGAU